rnacentral:rRNA from 1 species
AUGAGUAAUGCCAAACUAUCUAUCUGCUCGUGGAAUGUCAGAGGGUUGGGUGAUGACACCAAGUGUAGUGAUGUACUGUCUGAACUAAUUGCUAUAAACCCGCAAUGAGCCCUUCUGCAAGAAUCAAAACUUAACCAGAUAAAUGAACGAAAAUUUACCUCCUUCCUGCCAUGCUCUCUGGACAAGAAAAUGUUCCUCCCCGCGAAUGGUUCUGCGGGGGCAAUUGUCUCUGCUGUCAACUCCAAUCAACUUAAUGUAAUUGCCUUCGUACACCACAAUUUCGCCACUUCACUCAAGCUCUCCUCCCUCGCUCACCCAACUCACUUUGUUAUCACCAACGUCUACGCUCCCUCCAACCGCUCCCUUAAGCAGGCCUUCCUCGACGAGCUCAAGCAAAUCAAGGAAGACGAUCACACGCCGUGGCUAAUCGUCGGUCACUUCAACCUCAUUCGUUUCUCCCACGAAAACAAUAACCCAAAUUUUCACCAAUGAGACGUCGAUGCUUUCAAUGCGCUAAUUAACAACCUAGCCCUCAUGGAGCUACCCUUAUUAGACCGUAGAUUCACGUGGACAAACAAUAGGCCCUCCCCUACACUUGAAUGACUCGACCGCACUUUCUUUAACCUAGCUUGGAACUCACACUUCCCAAACACCACACUCUCCUCUCUCACGCGGAUUACUUCCGACCAU